UACGUAGGGGGCGAAGCGUUAUCCGGAAUCAUUGGGCGUAAAGCGCGUGUAGGCGGUUCCGUAAGUCCGCUCUGAAAGCCCAGGGCUCAACCCUGGGAGGCGGGUGGAUACUACGGAACUGGAGUACGGAAGAGGAGAUUGGAAUUCCUGGUGUAGCGGUGAAAUGCGCAGAUAUCAGGAGGAACACCAACAGCGAAGGCAGAUCUCUGGGACGUUACUGACGCUGAGACGCGAAAGCGUGGGGAGCAAACAGG
rnacentral:rRNA from 1 species